CAUCAACAUAUUACCCUGAGUACAUAUUAACUUGGGGUUAAGACAUUUUCCAUUCAUCUUCAAUGUUGUACUUCAAAUGAAGACCCAUUUUAAGUAUAUUUGACCAUACCUCAUUAACAUUUAUUUUUGAUUUUGCAGAAGAUUCUAAGAAUGCACAGUUGUUCCAUUGUCUUGCUAGAUUUUGACCUUGUUCCUUCCCUACAACUCUUUCAUCUUCCAAGUCACACUUAUUACCAACAAGAAUCAUUGGAACAUCAUCAGUGUCUUUAACUCGAAGAAUCUGUUCUCUCAGGUCUUGUAAAUCGUUAAAUGUGGACUGUGCUGUGAUGGAAUAAACUAAUGCAAAUCCUUGUCCAUUUUUCAUGUAUAAAUCCCUCAUUGCUGUAAAUUGCUCCGUUCCUGCAGUAUCCAAGAUUUCAAGCAUACACUGUUGUGCAUCUACUUCAACUUGCUUUCUAUAAGAAUCUUCUAUCGUAGGAUCGUAUUUUUC
rnacentral:lncRNA from 1 species